UUCUGGCUCAGGAUGAACGCUGGCGGCGUGCUUAACACAUGCAAGUCGAACGGAGUUUUAAACGGAAGUCUUCGGAUGGAAGUUUAGAAACUUAGUGGCGGACGGGUGAGUAACGCGUGGGUAACCUGCCUCAUACAGGGGGAUAACAGUUAGAAAUGACUGCUAACACCGCAUAAUAUAGCGAAACCGCAUGAUUUUGCUAUCAAAUAUUUAUAGGUAUGAGAUGGGCCCGCGUCUGAUUAGCUAGUUGGUGGGGUAAAGCCUACCAAGGCGACGAUCAGUAGCCGGCUUGAGAGAGUGACCGGCCACAUUGGGACUGAGACACGGCCCAAACUCCUACGGGAGGCAGCAGUGGGGAAUAUUGGACAAUGGGGGAAACCCUGAUCCAGCGAACCGCCGCGUGAGUGAAGAAGUAUUUCGGUAUGUAAAGCUCUAUCAGCAGGGAAGAUAAUGACAGUACCUGACUAAGAAGCCCCGGCUAACUACGUGCCAGCCGCAGC
rnacentral:rRNA from 1 species